UUAUUGAAAGGUAUCUGUUUUACCCUUUGCUUCCUCUCUUUUCUCUAGCUACCCAUUUGUAGAUCUAUUCAGAUUUUGUUCUAAUUUACUUGGAUCUGGUUUCAACUUGUUUUUAGGGAUGUAAGCCACCUCUGGCUUCAGUUUAUAUACUUGGCAGUUCAGCUAAAAUUACCCCAUUUUCCUCCCAAAAUCCAAGCCCAUUGUCGUCUGCAUUUCCAAGCCGAUUCCUUCAUGUCAAGGUAGUCCUUCCUCCUCUUCUUUGCCUAGUCCCACCAGGCUAGAUGCUAAUAGCCCAUCCAGUCUCCUCCCGUUACUUCGAUGUACCAUCCCUUCAUCUCUGUCACCUCUCCGAAUCUCAAACAGUGCCCCGGUGACACCACCACUUUCAUCUCCAACCUCAAGAAAUCCUAAGCCAAUUCCAAACUGGGAAGCCAUUGACAAAGAGUCCAUAAACUCUUUUAACUACCCUUUGUUUGCAGUCUCUGCUCCGGCUAGUCCAACUCACUGUCAUUUUCAUGGCCCGGCUACUAUACUUGAAUGUGACGAGUCUGAUACAUCGACAGUUGAAUCCGGUCAAUGGAUAAACUUUCAAAACUUUGCACCUUCUACAUCUCAAAUGCCAACUUCUCCGAGUUUUUUCUCAUGAAACCCUUUGCUCCACGAAGUUGGCGCAAUGAUUUGAUCAAAGAGAAAGGGCAUGGUUCGGACUUUUCAGUUUGAGAGUGGACAAGUGAAGCCAUGGGAAGGAGAGAGGGUCCAUGAAGUAGGAUUGGAUGAUCUCGAGCUCACACUUGGAAGCAGGAAGGCCCCGAUGUUAGAGCGAGGCUAACAAACUAAAGAUGUCAUUGUGAAUGUAUGCUAAAAAAAGAACUCUGUUGUCCUUCCAGAUUAUUGCAGUCGGAUAUGGAAAAACAUAUAGGAGAAUAUCUUAAAUAGAAGGUUGGAAGAGUUACAUUUUCAUCUGCAAUUGUUCCUUUUUUUUUUUUUUGUAAGUUGAUUGUCACACACCCUGGUUAAAUUGUUAGAGAAAUUGGAUUAUUUUUAGAAUCAAAAUCAAUACUUUGUAGAUACUGUCGGCCUUUUUUCUGGUUGACAGAAUUAUUUCAUCCUUCUCUUGGAAUUGGGGAAAACCUCACAGAAUGAAAUUUAUUUUACUGGUUUCUGUUGUUAAGAUGAAUUUAUGA